GUAUUACUCCCUCAGUCUCAUAAUAAGUGUCGAAAUAUUAUACAGUAUGUAUGUAGACAUUUUUUAAGUAUAGAUACAUUCAUAUUUGGACAAAUUUGAGACAAUUAAUAUGGGACGGAGGAAGUAUUCU
rnacentral:pre_miRNA from 1 species